rnacentral:lncRNA from 1 species
UCUGUGCAAGGAUCCAUCAGUUUCGGCUAGCUGAACGGUGCCAGUUUGUUACUGUGUGAGGGGAGUCUCCACAGCACCACUUUCGUUGACAGCGCCGUUCGCCUGUGCUGUAGAUGGCGGCAACGGGGAUUUCCGUGUCGACUCCACACGAACAAACUAAAUGCAUGAGACGGUGAAUUGUCUAUGGUGUUUGACUAAGGCAGCGGUUGCUUACUGUAAUUCCCCGAGUCCAUUCGCCGAUGCCUGAGUUCAAAAAACACAGUGACUUUCUUGAAUCGCAAAUUAGGUAACAUGUCACCCACAAGGCCAGUCAACGGUGCACAGAGCCAUCUUAUCGAGCUUCUGGCUGUCGUUCAUCUUCCCAAAGUUGAGCACUCGGUCGCCUAAGUUAACACACGUGUGUUUGGGGUUUGUUUGAUGCUGGAACUAUACGUUUUCCCUUACAUUUCCCGAUGUAAUCUUCAGGAGCCCGGCAAGUGAGUCCGUCUCCUACGUCAAGCCAGCCGAUCGGGCACCUUGACGAGAAAUCUCGCGGGCACUCCCCACGUUCUGACGUCAUGUUGCAGCAAGUGAGGGGAUGGACAUACUGAAGCAGGAAAGUAGCUAACCGGCAAAAGGGAAAUCUACAUCGCAUCCAACCGCAAACGAUGCUUUCUCAGAUGCAGACAUUGCAGAAUUUAUGCGACGAGGACAGUUCGCGGAUGACUGAAAGUCCGGUGGAGCCUCGCAUGUCCCGUCAGUCAAGCGAAACCAGGAAAGAGGACAAGUUGCUUCGUAAUCUCUUUGCCGAGCAGUCAACGGCCAGUUGCACUUCCAGGGGGCAAGACACCUCUUUUCAAAAGCUGCCUUUAGAUCGCUCCUUCCGACGUAUUCACUCGUAUCUACUGGCUGCUUGCAUGGGCCGUUGUAGAGCGCCGGUGGAGAACACAGAUGGUUCGAGGAUUGAUACCAACCUUCCGGGCACGCGGCGCUAUAAUCCUUGGCGCAGUUAAGAGGAAGGCAAGGCCAGCGCACUUUGCAAGUAGACUCAAAGUUAGCCUUUUCUUCAGCGGAUGAGUCCCCCCGGAUUUUGCUGUCGCACGGAGACUUGCCCGAAGCGGCAUGGCAUCUUCCAUCGGCAUCCGGCUUCCAGUCCACGGGGCAUUGCCUUCUAUAGUUCGAGCCCGCGGGGCAACUGUCGGGCAAGCACGGGAAGCUGACCUGGCAAAUAUCCGACCAGACUGCUUUCUGCUCAUCCGUUAGUUUGUGCAGAUCCUUUUGUGUUUUCGUGCAUGGCCCAGAGUACGAAUCCAACGCAACGCAAUUCGCCUCGUCAGGGGUGAAGUCAUUGGGGCACUGUACAGAGUAGUCUCGAACACACUCGGUUGCCACCACCUGAAGCUCCGUCACAGUGAAUGCUCAUCGAUAAACUGAGGAGGCCUGUACCUACCGGUGCUGUCUCUUCCUGGAAUGCAUGAUCAAAGUGGCCCGCUUGCUCAACAAAUGAUCAAAGACUUACUGCCAGCUCACUGAAAUCUUCUUGUGUCAUUGGUGACGGAGGCUUUUUCUGAAUGCCGUUGAAUUCACUGUGUUCGAUCGAUUUCGGAGGCAGCAUGAUUUACCUCGUCUAGGGCUGCAAUAAUCCGCUUCUGAAACUCCCGGACCUCUUCUCCUCCUACGAACAAUGAAGGCUCUACCACGUAACCGGGUCACGGAAUAAUUGAGCCACGGCACACCUUCCAUUUGAGUUAGACUGGAUGACGCAAACGCGUGGGCUGCUUUCUCUAAGAUAUUGGUUAGGAAUCCGCUUUUUUCCCGAGCUUUCGCUUCUUUCUCUUCAGGACUGCGCGGUGGCUCUACAACAUCUAAAUCUUUCUGCAGCUUGCCGGUGGCUUCGUCUGCCGCUGCCUCCAAUUCCGCUUCCGCAUGAAUAACAUUCUCUUCCUUCGUGUCUUCAGACGUCUGACAGCUAAUGUGCGGCGACUCAGCUUCUAUAAGUUCGGAGGUGGUGGAACCAGGCUGCGGCGCAGGGAAUCCGAAUGACAUCGGCUGCGGGGCACGCUCACUUCGCCAAUGCACAGCGGUCCCAUUUGAGACAAUCAGAGAGAAAAGCAAAAUACAGAGCCACGCCAUUUCGUCGCUUCGCCCACUCAUGAGAGUAUAUUUGCACAAACUGGCAGCAACGUGGUUACAAUCAAACUCGCACAGGGUGUAGAUACAGCUCAAUUUUGUUUGGGCCGUUGGAUCGCCGUAACAUUCGGUGUUCGUGUUGCCGACAUCCGGCAAGCCUGUGGGUGAACUUGUAAGCCCUUGUCUAGUGUCUUGAAGGCCCACCUAGAACUCAGAAAGAAGUCUGCUCUGAGAUAAUAGAAUGAUGCAUGGAGGAGCUGAUGCUGAGUUGCCAUGAGCUGUAAGCUUGCUUGUGCUACUACAGCAGAUAUAGGAGUGGGGCGUAACGGCGAGGGGCAUUAAUCGUCUUCAGUGUGCAACUGUUUUUUCUGGUUGGCACGCGUGUGUGUGUGUGUGAGUCCCGCGCACGUCGAGGCAGGCGCAGUUACCUAGAUCAAGCAGCCGUUUCCGCAAAACCGACCAAAUACGGAUAACAUUCGAAGCAGUCGGAUGUUCAUGGGCAGCGGUGUCCUGUUUUUGUUUGAGCUGAAAGAAAUUCUUUGGGUUCCACUACCAGUGACACCACAGAAUGAGGUCAGC